rnacentral:rRNA from 1 species
AUUGAACGCUGGCGGCCGGCCUAACACAUGCAAGUCGAACGAGUGGCGGACGGGUGAGUAAUGUCUGUGAAACAGCAUGAUGGAGGGGGUUAACUACUGGAAACGGUAGCUACUACCGCAUACCAUCAGAUGUGCCCAGAUGGGAGUAGCUUGUUGGUGGGGUAACGGCUCACCAGGGAGACGAUCCCUAGCUGGGCUGAGAGGAUGACCAGCCACACUGGAACUGAGACACGGUCCAGACUCCGACGGGAGGCAGCAGUGGGGAAUAUUGCACAAUGGGCGCAAGCCUGAUGCAGCCAUGCCGCGUGUAUGAAGAAGGCCUUCGGGUUGUAAAGUACUUUCAGCGGGGAGGCGUUACCCGCAGAAGAAGCACCGACUAACUCCGUGCCAGCCGCCGCGGUAAUAC